GAGGUCUUAGCUUAAGUAAAGUGUCUGGAUUGCAGUCAGAUGAUGUAGUGUAGUAGUCUACAGAUCUU
rnacentral:tRNA from 1 species